AACGCACAUUGCGCCCUUCGGUAUUCCGUUGGGCAUGCCUGUUCGAGCGUCAUUUAAACCUUCAAGCUCUGCUUGGUGUUGGGCGUUUGUUCCGCCUCCGCGCGUGGACUCGCCUCAAAUUCAUUGGCAGCCGGUCAGUUGGCUUUCGUGCGCAGCACAUUGCGUAGCGGCUCCAGCUUGCCCUCCUACCAUUAAGCUAUUCUACAUCUUUUGACCUCGGAUCAGGUAGGGAUACCCGCUGAACUUAA
rnacentral:misc_RNA from 2 species